GCGCCCACCCGCCCUCCAGCCAGCCCGCGCUCGCGCCAACUGCCGCGUCGGGCUCUCGGGCGCGGGCGGGGCAAGAGCGGGGCGAGGCGGGGCGGGGGGGAGAGGGAAAACGGUCUCCAGCGCGCACAUCCAGGGGCGGGCAGAGGAGGAGCCGGGCGGCGCCCCGCCCCCCGUCUCCCGCUCCCCGCGACGGCGGAGGAUAGUCCCCCGAAGGCAGACUUCGGGGCUAAGCGCGAGUACCCGGCUCCCGGCGGGGCAGUAUCCAGCAUAGAGCAGCCCUUUCCCUUGGCAGAAAGCUUCAUUUCUGUUCAAACAUCUCUUUAAGACCCACCUCACCAAGUAAGGCUACCUGACUAUGGUGCAUAGAAUGCUACUGUCUGGGAAAAGUCAACAUUGUGAGUCAUCCAAAGAGCAAAAUGGAAGAACGGACAGUAUAAGGCUACAACUGUGAGAAGUGGUAUAAUAACUUAUUUCUAAAGCCCUUUAAGAUGAACAAAGCACUUUACCUACAUUAUCUUAUUGAAAGGAGGUAGGCAUUGAGGCUAUAUCUCCACUACUUCAUAGACCCCCCUUUGUUCCUCAGAGCCAAAUAGUUGCCAUAUCUCUCUACGGUGACCUCCAUGACAUCUUUUGCAUUCUAUUGCCUCCACUUGUGUAACCAAGGCCUUAGUUUAAGCCCUCAUCACCUCUCCUUUGGAAUAUUGUAUUAGCCUCCUAAUGGAUCUCCUUGCCAAUCUAUCCUUCACACAGUUUCCAAAGUGAUUUUUCAUAAGACCAUGUAAUUUCCUUGCACAAUAAAAUUUGGUUCCUUCCUA